CCUACGGGUGGCAGCAGUAGGGAAUCUUUCACAAUGGGCGCAAGCCUGAUGGAGCAACGCCGCGUGCAGGAUGAAGGCCUUCGGGUUGUAAACUGCUUUUAUAAGCGAGAAAUAUGAUGGUAACUUAUGAAUAAGGAUCGGCUAACUACGUGCCAGCAGCCGCGGUCAUACGUAGGAUCCGAGCAUUAUCCGGAGUGACUGGGUGUAAAGAGUUGCGUAGGUGGCAUAAUAAGUAGCUAGUGAAAUCUGGUGGCUCAAACAUUCAGACUAUUAGCUAAACUGGUAAGCUCGAGACCGUUAGGGGUAACUGGAAUUUCUAGUGUAGGAGUGAAAUCCGUAGAUAUUAGAAGGAACACCAAUAGCGUAGGCAGGUUGCUGGGACGGUUCUGACACUAAGGCACGAAAGCGUAGGGAGCAAACGGGAUUAGAUACCCUAGUAGUC
rnacentral:rRNA from 1 species